GGACAACCUGCCCUUAGGUUGGGUAUAAACCCGGGAAACUGGGUAUAAUACCCGAUAGGUCUCGAUUGCUGGAAUGCAUCGAGAUUUAAAGCUCCGGCGCCUAAGGAUGGGUCUGCGGCCUAUCAGGUAGUAGUGGGUGUAGCGUACCUACUAGCCUACGACGGGUACGGGUUGUGAGAGCAAGAGCCCGGAGAUGGAUUCUGAGACACGAAUCCAGGCCCUACGGGGUGCAGCAGGCGCGAAAACUUUACAAUGCUGGCAACAGCGAUAAGGGAACCUCGAGUGCCAGGUUACAAAUCUGGCUGUCGAGAUGCCUAAAAAGCAUUUCAUAGCAAGGGCCGGGCAAGACCGGUGCCAGCCGCCGCGGUAACACCGGCGGCUCGAGUGGUAACCGUUAUUAUUGGGUCUGAAGGGUCUGUAGCCGGCCGGAUAAGUCUCUUGAGAAAUCUGGCAGCUUAACUGUCAGGCUUUCAGGAGAUACUGUCUUGCUCGAGGCCGGGAGAGGUGAGAGGUACUUCAGGGGUAGGGGUGAAAUCUUGUAAUCCUUGAAGGACCACCAGUGGCGAAGGCGUCUCACCAGAACGGACCUGACGGCAAGGGACGAAAGCUAGGGGCACGAACCGGAUUAGAUACCCGGGUAGUCCUAGCCGUAAACGAUACUCGCUAGGUGUCGGCCACGGUGCGACCGUUGUCGGUGCCGUAGGGAAGCCGUGAAGCGAGCCACCUGGGAAGUACGGCCGCAAGGCUGAAACU
rnacentral:rRNA from 1 species